rnacentral:lncRNA from 1 species
CUUUCCAUAUGGUUUCUAUCUUCUUCGAAUUUCAUUGCUCAAUGCUCAACAUUGCUACACUUCUGCAGAGCAAUAGAAGAAAUUUGCUGCUGCAUUGCCACUGGUGGUCUUUAAAACAAAAUCUUCUAACUGCAGAUAAAAUCUCAGCUGGACCAGCCCUCCAUUCCUGUCUGUACUCUGGGACAUGAAGCAGGUUGCAGCCUGAGCUUCUGUAUUCUCCCAGCUCACCCUGUCCUCACUUCAGCAGGCACUGGGGCUGCUUCAAACAGAACACAGAUUUGUCAUCUGUAUUUUUGGUAAGUGCUUAGCUUUUGAAUAUUUCAUUUGCCCUCUCUGAGCAAUACUUAUUCUGAUCCUUUCCUGCAUUUCAGAGGAUUAUUCUAGACUGGAUUCAAAACCUGGAAAUAAUGUACAUGCACAGCUGACAAGAUAUCGCUGGCUGGGAUAUGUACCACCCUUGAUAUGGGCAGACAGACUAAAAAACCUUCAGAACUCUGAUCACUAUUACAUUACUGAAUUAAAAUUGCUGAU